rnacentral:rRNA from 1 species
GAUGAACGCUGGCGGCGUGCCUAAUACAUGCAAGUCGAGCGAACAGACGAGGAGCUUGCUCCUCUGACGUUAGCGGCGGACGGGUGAGUAACACGUGGAUAACCUACCUAUAAGACUGGGAUAACUUCGGGAAACCGGAGCUAAUACCGGAUAACAUGUUGAACCGCAUGGUUCAACAGUGAAAGACGGUCUUGCUGUCACUUAUAGAUGGAUCCGCGCCGCAUUAGCUAGUUGGUAAGGUAACGGCUUACCAAGGCAACGAUGCGUAGCCGACCUGAGAGGGUGAUCGGCCACACUGGAACUGAGACACGGUCCAGACUCCUACGGGAGGCAGCAGUAGGGAAUCUUCCGCAAUGGGCGAAAGCCUGACGGAGCAACGCCGCGUGAGUGAAGAAGGUCUUCGGAUCGUAAAACUCUGUUAUUAGGGAAGAACAAAUGUGUAUGUAACUAUGCACGUCUUGACGGUACCUAAUCAGAAAGCCACGGCUAACUACGUG